rnacentral:tRNA from 1 species
GCCCGAGUGGUGGAACUGGUAGACACGCAGGACUUAAAAUCCUGUGACCAUUGCGGUCGUGCCGGUUCGACCCCGGCCUCGGGUACCA